rnacentral:rRNA from 1 species
UACAGAGGUCUCAAGCGUUGUUCGGAUUUAUUGGGCGUAAAGGGCGCGUAGGCGGUCACGCACGUCCGUUGUGAAAUCGCUCGGCUCAACUGGGCGGGGUCAGCGGAUACGGUGUGACUGGAGCAAGCUAGGGGGCAAUGGAAUUCCCGGUGUAGUGGUGGAAUGCGUAGAUAUCGGGAGGAACACCAGUGGCGAAGGCGGUUGCCUGGAGCUUUGCUGACGCUGAUGCGCGAAAGCGUGGGGAGCGAUCCGG